GUUUCCUUAUGUUUUUGGAUUGCUGUUCUGGAGUGCAUCAGAAUGUAACACUCAAGGAUACUUCCAUGAUGACUGAAACCUCAAUUUGGAUUAAAUAAUACAUAGAACCUGUCUUCAUCAUACUUUACAGACUGACAGCACCACUGAGAGAUUUUAAGACCAGAAGAAACCAUAUCUUCUCUAGUCCAAGCUUCAUAACAGAGCCUAUAGAAUUUCAUCCAUAUUACCCUUGUUAUCUAUCUAAAGUGUAACUUCCAGAAAGGCAUCCCGACUUCAUGUGAAGACUUCAAGAGAUGGAGAAUACACACCACUUCCCUUGGUAUUUGUACACCAUAAUUUUUAGUGUCUUCAGGGACCAAUUCUGAUGUGUACAACUGUUACACUGAUGCUAAUAUGAAGAGAAUAUCUAGACUGAGGAAAAACCUUCUUGGAAACUUUUUCCACAUCAUCCCUCAGAUCUGCAUUCUAGAUGAACGGAAGCCACCACAUUUGCAACACCACCACCACAAUCUUUGAACUACAAAAUGAAAUCUCUCAUCAAGUUAAAUAUUUUGCAAUUUCAGAAAGUUUGGAAUGCUAGAGCAGUUUUCAGAGAUGAAAAUAUGGGCUGUAAAAUCUCUGUCCCUGCUUGCAAGCACCUAGUUAUGUGAAAACUUUCCCACUUGAAAUAUAUUGAACCAAAUAAAAUAAGUUGGUUGGACAAACGUCUUCUAUAACCCAUGCAUUUGGCAACAGGUGUUGCUGGAGAUGAGACAACA